rfam:Methanosarcina sp. Ant1 MSANT_contig000115, whole genome shotgun sequence.
GUCAACUACCCGCUAAUAAAUUAGCAGGCAUGUAAAAGUGUCUAGGUUGACCAGAUCACUGAUUGGGAGGAAACAAAAUCAGUAAACGAUAUGCGAGAAUUAUAUAGUUACCUUCGAAUGUCGCCUCAGUUGGAAGCUCUAAGGGCAUCGGUUAAACAGUCCUAAAGGGUUAUGGACAGUGCUUAUGCUGAAAACCUCGCAAUAUCAGAUCGAGAGGAGGUCGGA